UGAAAGGGGAAGGAGAACCGAGAGAGAGAGAGAGGGAGAGAGAGAAGAGGCAAAGCUUCUCCUUAAGGAAUUCAACAUCCAUGGAAGCUUGAAGAUGGUUGAAGAAGAUAGAAGAGAGAGGAAAGAUCAACCAAAAGCUUGGGAAAAAUUGAAGAGUCUAAGGGAUGAACAAAGGUUUGGGUAAGGUCGAGACGAGGACAUUGUACCAUUACCACCGGGAACCGAUCGCUGUGAGUAGUAGUACAAAAAUGUACAUUUUUUUCUACCAUUGACAAUUAUUGUCACUAAUGCUCUGUUCUUUGUAAGUAUUAUACGAACAUUUAUGACAAUUGGAAAGCAAUGUGAACUUAUAUGAACGCUGAAAGAUUCGCGUACGUCGGUAACCAACCAAGUGGUCAGUCCUAGUCAUGACACCUGUUUUCUUCUGUCAACCUUCGUUGGUUCAGGCACUGCACGAAGCCAUUUAUUUUUGUAAAGUCUAUUGAAAUGUUGGCUUAAUUUUGAUUACCCAUUUAAAGUUAAAGAGGUAGAACUUCAAUUAUUUUUAUAUAAGCCCAAUGAUGGGGCUGGGUCUGUACAUAUGGUUGUUUAUCAUCGAUGCUAUAACAUAUGGUUUGGAGCUUUAUCUAUUUUCCAUGAUGAAUGUGAUGUAUAAGAGGUCCUGGCAUGUAGAUGUAGCUCAAUGGAAUUUAUAUGUAUAGUUAUUUUCCUACUUUAUGCUUC